UACGGGGGGGGCAAGCGUUGUUCGGAAUUACUGGGCGUAAAGAGCGUGUAGGCGGCCACGCAGGUCCGUUGUGAAAACUGGAGGCUCAACCUCCAGCUGUCGACGGAAACCGUGUGGCUAGAGUCCGGAAGAGGAGAGUGGAAUUCCUGGUGUAGCGGUGAAAUGCGCAGAUAUCAGGAAGAACACCAAUGGCGAAGGCAGCUCUCUGGGACGGUACUGACGCUGAGACGCGAAAGCGUGGGGAGCGAACAGG
rnacentral:rRNA from 1 species